rnacentral:rRNA from 1 species
UACGUAGGGGGCAAGCGUUAUCCGGAUUCACUGGGUGUAAAGGGAGCGUAGACGGCCAUGCAAGCCUGGAGUGAAAGCCCGGGGCCCAACCCCGGGACUGCUCUGGGAACUGUGCGGCUGGAGUGCGGGAGGGGCAGACGGAAUUCCUAGUGUAGCGGUGAAAUGCGUAGAUAUUAGGAGGAACACCAGUGGCGAAGGCGGUCUGCUGGACAGCAACUGACGCUGAGGCGCGAAAGCGUGGGGAGCAAACAGG